rnacentral:rRNA from 1 species
UACAGAGGUCUCAACCGUUGUUCGGAUUCAUUGGGCGUAAAGGGUGCGUAGGCGGUCGCGCAAGUCGGAUGUGAAAUCUCAAGGCUCAACCCUGAAACUGCAUUCGAUACUGCGUGGCUAGAGUGGCUGGAGGGGAGACUGGAAUUUACGGUGUAGCAGUGAAAUGCGUAGAUAUCGUAAGGAAGACCAGUGGCGAAGGCGGCUCACUGGCCCGGUACUGACGCUGAGGUGCGAAAGCGUGGGGAGCAAACAGG